rnacentral:rRNA from 1 species
AUUGAACGCUGGCGGCAUGCUUUACACAUGCAAGUCGAACGGUAGCAGGGUGCUUGCACCGCUGACGAGUGGCGAACGGGUGAGUAAUGCGUCGGAACGUGCCGAGUAGUGGGGGAUAACGCAGCGAAAGUUGUGCUAAUACCGCAUACGUACUGAGGUAGAAAGUGGGGGACCUUCGGGCCUCACGCUAUUCGAGCGGCCGACGUCUGAUUAGCUAGUAGGUGAGGUAAAGGCGCACCUAGGCGACGAUCAGUAGCGGGUCUGAGAGAAUGAACCUGCAGACGAGGCCUGGGCCACGGGCCAGUCGCCUACGGGCGGCAGCAGUGGGGAAGUUUGGACAAUGGGAGAAAGCCUGAUCCAGCCAUGACGCGUGUCUGAAGAAGGCCUUCGGGUUGUAAAGGACUUUUGUCAGUGAGGAAAUCCCUAGCGUUAAUACCGCUGGGGGAUGACAGUACCUGAAGAAUAAGCACCGGCUAACUACGUGCCAGCCGCCGCGGUAACAC